ACGGGUACAUGCGUCAUGCAAAACAUCGUUGUUAUGACAACAGUGAAAAUGGCAAAGAGACACGCUUAUCAAGCACAGUUCAAACUGAAGGCCAUCAGUUGGAUUAUGUUUAUGUAUUCAUUUGUGAUAGCCAUAGUAUUCUUUUGUUCAGACAAGUUGCAAGGUCUUACCUUAGUAGCUUUCCCUGACAGUUUCGGCAGUAAAUUCCGCCUUCAUCAGAGAGUGAAGGCCAUCAGCUACGCGGAGGAGCAUGGAAAGCAGCAACACGAGCAGAAGAAAUGGAAAUUGAACAUUUUCAAGGAGCAAACGUAUCGCCGACAAACACAUCCAGCCCACCCAAAUUACCAACAUGGAAGAGGUGCCGCUCACUUUCGACAUCCCGGUGAAUCACACUGUGGAGAAGAAAGGGACCAAGACGAUGGGGAUACGCACAACGGGAUACGAAAAGUCUUCUUUUACUGUUGUGCUUGGCUGCCAUGCUAAUGGACAGAAACUGGUGAUUUUUAAGAGAAAGACUUUGCCUAAAGAGAGGUUUCCAGCAGGAGUCAUCAUUAAGGCAAAUGAAAAGGGCUGGAUGGAUGAGGAAAUGAUGACUGAGUGGCUGAGGGAGGGGUAUGUAAGGAGACCAAGUGUUUUUUCCACGCAUCACCAUCGCUGUUGAUCUGUGACUCUAUGCGUGCCCAUCUCACAGCCAAUGUGAAAGAACAAGUGAAGCAAAUGAACGCCGAACUUGUUGUCAUUCCGGCAGGCACGACAAAACAACUCCAACCGCAGGACAUCGGUGUGAACCGGCCGCUCAAAGUAAAGGUGCGAGCGACGUGGGAGCAAUGGAUGACCGAUGGAUAACCGACAGAGAGCAUAGUUUCACUGAGUGGAAGGCAGCGCCGGGCGAGUUACGCCACAAUUUGCGAAUGGAUUGUGUAUGCUUGGGCUAACAUGUCUGCUGGCACUGUUGUUCGAGCGUUCGUAAAAGCCGGCAUCAUAUCCGAGGAGCCACAUGGCACGGAAAGUAACUCUGACAGUCAGGGCUGUGGACUCGGGGACUCUGACUCGGUCAUUUUUGCCGGACACGGACUCGGUCCUGAUUUUGACCGAGUCCACCGAGUCAGACAAUAAAAAAAACGUUCAAUUUCAUUUUCAUCAUGCUGCUGAGAAUGCGCGUAGGAAUACUGUGUGUACAUGUUUAAUAUAUCCGUACAAUAUAUAUUUUGAAUCACUGUCUUUUGGGAUAAUCACACACACACACACACACACACACAGAGACACACACACACAGGCACACACUAAAAGGGAGGGCAGAGGCCACGCCCCCUUCUGCGUUUGUCGGCCGCCACCUCGCCAACCGACAGAUGAAGAAAUUGGGGCAAUGUUGGCACUUGGUCGAAUGAAAGAGAGCCCAUUUGUUACAGCUGAUCGUUAUCCGUUAGGCCUCAAGGCAGCGACUCGGACACUAACAGCAAUGCCAAUCAGCCAAGUCAGCGUAGAGCGCCUGUUUUCCGGGCUCAAGUUUAUCAUGUCUGAUCAGCGCCGCGCGAUGAAGGCUGACUUGGUUGAGGCGUUUUUGUUCCUAAGAACAAACUCAAGUCGUUGAAUUAAACUUGAAAGUAUCUGUUUAUUGUAUUCGUUUAUAUGUUUAAUAAAGACAAAGCCAUCACAAAACUGUUGUAAUUUAGAUUUUGAUCUAAAUCAGCCUUGAAUAAAGACUAAGUAGUCACACGAAUUAACAGAAAAAAUGGACAGCCGGACUCGGACUCAUGGUCAAGAGGCCGGACUCGGACUCGGUGCAAAAGUCCGACCGAGUCCACAGCCCUGCUGACAGUGAAGAAAGUGAACCUGGCAUGUCUGUUGGAGAUUUAGCGCUGCUGUUCAAUUCGGAAACAGAGGACGAGGACUUCGAUGGGUUUAAUUGAUGACCAUUACCGGCAAUGAAAAUGUGAAUACCAAACUCAGUUUUGCUCCCGCUUCAUUUUUAAAUACGCACACUUGUAUGCUUGUGUGUGUGCGUGUGUGUGGUUGUUGUUGUGGUUGCCAUGAGAAUGUUAAAGAGGAAAGUGUGGGCGUGGAUUUGCAGUGCGCCCCGUGUGGGGGUGAAGACAGGACAAGUUUGGUUAAUUAUUACAGGUUACAUUCCAACAUAAUCAUAGGACCAAACUAAUCUAUCAACCUUAACGGCUCCCGCUUCAUUUUUAAAUACGCACGCUUGUAUGCUUGUGUGUGUGUGUGUUGUUGUUGUUGUUGUUGCCAUGAGAACGUUAAAGGGGGAGGUGUGGGCGUGGAGUUGUAGUGCGUGUGUGUGUCUGUGUGUGUGCGUGUGUGUGUGUGUGUGUGCGCGCGUGUGUGUGUGUGUUUUUAGCGAUGGGGCCAAAAAAGGAUCAGGGAACGGCCGAUGCUUUCAAAGAAAUUAAAAAUCAACUGAAAACUCUGGGAACUCUGGAAAAAAAAAUAGCAGAGAACUCUGGACAUUCUUCAAGAGACUGGAGGGGAGAUCAGAGACAUUAAGAGGAGUAUAAUGGCAACUCGAUUGAUUGGAUUAGAAACCAAGAUGGAAGAAAUUGCACUUCUCGAAUGCCAUGAAAGACCAUCUGAUAAAAAUUCUCACUAGCAGAGUAGAAGAUAUUGACCGACAAUAUAAAAUUAAUAGGGGUGUAAAUCGCGGGUUUUGUCACGAUACGAUAUCAUAUCGAUACAAAGAUACACGAUACGAUAUCUGCCGAUAUCUUAAAGCCUGCUGUGAUUCAUUCACGAUACAUCACAAUAUAGUGCUCUACGAUCGAUAUUUUAAUUUUUUUUAAAUAAAAAAUAUAGAACAAUAUCCUGAUUUAUAACAAUUCAUACGCAAAAUCAACAAGGUACUGCAAACUCUUUAUUUAGGAAAUUACAAGAGUAUUGUAGUAUACAAAGUGCUUAUUUUAACACUGAACUUUGAUGUCAUGUUUUUUUUUUUAAUGUGCAGUGAGAUUUGCGGUCCCUGAAUAUUUGAUCACCGCAUGGCAGGAUUUACAAACUCCACGUGUCUUGUCCGUUGAGCCAUCUUUUCUUUGGAAUCCAAAGUGCUUCCAAACGAAUUACUUGAAGCCUAAAGGGGAGCAAAUUUCCUCGUCUUUUUGGACACUAGCCAAAGCACCAGCCCAGGAGCCGCGUACUAGUUUUCGACUCCCCUUUUACGUGCCUGCUCUGUAGGGAUGGGCGAUACCAAUGAUUUUGGAUUCGAUCCGAUACCAAGUAUUUCCUGCCCAAAAAUACCCGAUAUCGAUCCGAUAUCGAUACCGGAAGUGUAAUUUGCCGCCAAAAAAACAAUUUAAAUGCAGUGGCAUUCUUGCUCUUGGAGAGUCAUCUAUUGAAUUUUGUAGAAAAAAGUAUUACGUCAUGUACAUGAAUUAUUAACCUCUUUAGAAAACCAUUAAUGGAAGAUGCAUAUUAAUAGUAUAACUUUAAUUAAAAGGAGCUAUUCUUUACUUUUUUCUCUCUCUCUCUGUUGUUGGGAAAAAGUUUUGUCUUUUAGUAUAUUGUAAGAAGAGACAUGGCGGCAACUGGAGUUAGGGUGAGUGAAAAUCGUGUGGUACUACUGAGAUUUAUAAAUAUCAAGCACAAAGUUGCUCUACUGAAACAGGGAAAGCCUCCUGUUCAUCCGAUCCUCCAUGCAUCCCGCAAGCUUGUUGGCAGUUUCCGCGCUCACAUCUCUGGGGCACAGGUGAAUUUCAAAUGUGGAAUAUUCUAAGAACAUCACUGCUGUUCUGCAUUCUGAACCCACUUAGCCAACUGCCUACUGCCCGAUGACUGCUGGGAUAGGCUCCAGCACCCGGUAUAGAAGACGGUAUAGAAAAUGGAUGGAAUAUUUCUUAAAACAAGUUUUCAUCAAAUACAGUGAUUUGCCACCAGUGUUUCCUCUAAUUUUUCAAGUGUUUGUGCAAACACACAAGCUCCCUGUGCACACUGUGGACCACUGUGUGCAACAUGUCAGGGUUUUCCAAACUAUCUUGAUCGUAUGAUUAUGUUGGAAUGUAACCAGUAAUAAAUAACCUAGCUAGAUUAGCUUUAUGCUUAUGUUGGAAUGUAACCUGUAAUAACCUAGCUUGUCCCAUCCUACACGACGUCGUAAAACACCCCCUGCUAUGCUUUGACUAGAGGUCAAGGGCUUUCUCUUCUCUAUCCAGUCCACUGUCACCCCCACCCUGUUUCUCUUAAUAAAAAUGCUCUUGCAAGCGGCCAGAGUCAGACCUCAUUCCAUCAUCGCUGUACGCACAGCGAGGAAUGACUCUCCACCUGCAGGUGUCUAAAAGGACUUAAUUGUCGCCCAUGUGGUUCUUGCAAAAUAAGUUAGAGUGAGCACCACUCUAACACAACACCAGAUCAAUCAAUCAAUCAAUCAAGCAAUCAAUCAAUCAAUCAAUCAAUCAAUCAAUCAAUCAAUCAAUCAAUCAAUCAAUCAAUCAAUCAAUCAACCAACCAACCAAUCAAUCAAUCAAUCAAUCAAUCCCUUCCUGUGGACCACUGUGUGCAACACCAGAUCCCUCCCUCCCUACCUUCCUCCCUCCCUCCCUCAGCAUCCUCCUGCUGGCACCCACUUUGUUUGGGAUAUUCUUCUCUCUCCUCCUGCGCCAAGCCUUUGGAACAUCAACUGCGGGAGUUUACUUACACACCAGGACAGACAGCAAACUAUUCAACCGUCUGAGAGCCAAAACCAAGGUCUGACCAUUCACCAUUCGGGACAUGUUGUUUGCUGAUGAUGCAGCAUUGGCAACACACACUAAGGAACACCUGCAGAUUCUCCUAGACCGGUUCAGCCAAGCAUGUCAGGACUUCAACCUGACCAUCAGCCUAAACAAAACCAAGACAAUGGGCCAGGGGAUCACUGUCCCACCCUCCAUCACCAUCAACAACUACACACUGGAAGCUGUAAGCAGCUUUAUCUAUCUUGGGUCUACCAUCACCUGCAAUUUGUCACUCGAUGCCGAGGUCAGCAGCCGGAUUGGGAAAGCAGCUUCUACGUUUGGAAAACUGACACCCAGAGUAUGGCAGAACAGCAAGAUCACCAUCCAUACAAAAGGUGCAAGUGUACAGGGCCUGUGUUGUCAGUACACUCUUGUAUGGCAGCGAAGCCUGGACUCUUUAUGCACAUCAAAAGAGAAGGCCUAACUCUUUCCAUCUGCGUUGCCUGAGACGCAUACUGGGCAUCACCUGGCGGGACAGGAUUACAGACAGUGCAGUCCUGGAGAGUGCACAGCUCCCCACUAUGCUCUCCCUGCUGAAGCAGUGGCAUCUCCGUUGGCUGGGCCAUGUCUGUUGGAUGGAAGACGGUCGGAUGCCAAAGGACAUCUUAUAUGCAGAGCUAAAAUCAGGCAAAAGGCAAGUAAGCUGCCCACUGCUCCGCUACAAGGAUGUCUGCAAACAAGACCUCAAAUCCUUCAACAUCAACCCAGCCACCUGGGAAGACGUCGCCCAGGAUCGCCACAAAUGGCAACAGCCCACCCUGGCUCAACAUCGAGAAACGAAAAGAAAGUUGAGGAAGCAGCAAGCCACCAUGCCCUCACCUUAACCGGAUCCGGCCCACACCUGUAACAUCUGCGGCCAUGUCUGUCUCUCACGGAUUGGACUCACCAGCAACAGCAGACGCUGUGCAAAGAACACCUAACCUCCAGACACAAGAAAUCUAUGGUCUUUCGAGACUGUGAUACCGAUGAGUUGAUGAGCAGGAACAGGUGUGGGUGAUUGACUUAAUGGAAGGGCCGUGGCUGUGAAUGGUAUCCAUGGUGAUUGAGUGACGGAGUACCGGCUGGUGACAAGUGGCACGGCAUAUGACAGCACCAAAACAAUUGCACCUGCAAUUACAGAGAUAGGUGGCAAAGUGUUGACACAGGGGUGUACGCAUUUUUCAUUCUCUAAUAUGCAUACAUUUUUGAAAAUUAUUUAUCAUUUUGAUCCCCCUUCUUGAUUGUGGGCUAAUUUGUAGGUUAGUCAUAAAAAAACAUUUUAAAAAAAAGAACACUGACGUUUUCGAUUGUGAAGUUUUAAAAGAUUAUUGAUACUUUUUCAAGACACUGUAGGUACAGUGCCUUGCAAAAGUAUUCGGCCCCCUUGAACCUUUCAACAUUUCGCCACAUUUCAGGCUUCAAACAAAGAUAUAAAAUUGAUUUUUUUUGUCAAGAAUCAACAACAAGUGGGACACAAUUGUGAAGUGGAACGAAAUUGAUUAGCUGAUUUAAACUUUUUUAACAAAUAAAAAACCUAAAAGUUGGGCGUGCAAUACUAUUCGGCCCCCUUGCGCUAAUACUUUGUGGCGCCACCUUUUGCUGCAAUUACAGCUGCAAGUCGCUUGGGGUUUGUCUUUAUCAGUUUUGCACAUUGAGAGACUGUAAUUCUUGCCCAUUCUUCCUUGCAAAACAGCUCGAGCUCAGUGAGGUUGGAUGGAGAGCGUUUGUGAACAGCAGUCUUCAGCUCUUUCCACAGAUUCUCGAUUGGAUUCAGGUCUGGACUGACUUGGCCCUUCUAACACCUGGAUACGUCUAUUUGUGAACCAUUCCAUUGUAGAUUUGGCUUUAUGUUUUGGAUCAUUGUCCUGUUGGAAGAUAAAUCUCCGUCCCAGUCUCAAGUCUUUUGCAGACUCCAAGAGGUUUUCUUCCAGAAUGGUCCUGUAUUUGGCGCCAUCCAUCUUCCCAUCAAUUUUAGCCAUCUUCUCUGUCCAUGCUGAAGGAAAGCAGGCCCAAACCAUGAUGCUGCCACCACCAUGUUUGACAGUGGGGAUGGUGCGUUCAGGGUGAUGAGCUGUGUUGCUUUUACGCCAAACAUAUCGUUUUGCAUUGUGGUCAAAAAGUUAGAUUUUGGUUUCAUCUGACCAGAGCACCUUCUUCCACAUGUUUGGUGUCUCCCAGGUGGCUUGUGGCAAACUUUAAACGAGACUUUUUAUGGAUAUCUUUGAGAAAUGGCUUUCUUCUUGCCACUCUUCCAUAAAGGCCAGAUUUGUGCAGUACAGGACUGAUUGUUGUCCUAUGGCCAGACUCUCCCACCUCAGCUGUAGUUAUCUGCAGUUCGUCCAGAGCAGGGGUCACCAAACUACGGCCCGCGGGCCGGAUACGGCCCGCGGGACCGUUUAAUCUGGCCCGCCAACCCUGAAUAAAUUGUAUUAUUAAACUUUUUUUUUUUUUUUGCUCAUUUUGCCUGCAAUGACUGCGUUUCCCCAGUAGAUGGGGAAGCGCUCGCCUGCGCAUUUACUACCGGAAGCCGUGUCAGAAAGCUCGGUGCACACUCACAAGUGCGUGUACGGACAUGGCGCACUCGCGCUCUAUUUGUAUCAGUCCCGAAUUUAGAGCGUGGGCUGUGACGACAGCAUUCUUGUAAUUUGCGCGCUGAGCUUUCAGAUGCAGUUUUGCGCUAAAGCCACCCACAAACCUUCCCCUGGAAUCCUUCCGUUAAAAUGUCGCCCAAGUAAAGCAGUGCCGAGCGUUUAAAAGAGUUGCCAAUUUGGCUCGACGUACGCGACGUGACGUUCAGCCACAUGAACGUCAACAUCUACCCGUCACAGAUCGAGGUAAACGGACCAACACCUCGGAUCUCGCCUAAGAAUUGCCACAACAAAUUUUACUCCAGACUAUGACGCACUAUCAAACUUUAACAAAAAAGACAGCAGUGUCUACAAGCCUACUGGAACCUACAAAAGGAUUAUAAGGAAGGAACACAAGAACUUUAAGAGACUGCUCAUAUGUGUCAGAGAGGUUCUGCUCUGACAACUGAGCUGAACUUUUAUCUGUUAAGAUUGUGCAUGGCACAACAGAAAGUUAAUGUUCCAUGUUUUUUUUUCUAUGAAGAACCCAGAGAGAGUUAUUUAGUUAUUUAUUUCCUGUUUUUUCUGUGAAGAACUCAGAGAGGGUUUAGUUAUUAUUUAUUUCAUUAAUAGUGUUAUUAUUUGUUUCCUGACUUUUUUUCUGUAAAGAACCUGGAAAGGGUUAUUAAAUAACCGUUAUUUGGUUAUGUGUGGCUUUCUGGAAAACAAUAAUUUUUUUAAGCUCCCCUACGAUCGUCACACUUUUUCUGUUACAAACUGCCACCGGCCCGCCAUCAGAGAAGGGAAAGGUUAUGUGGCCCUCACAGGAAAAAGUUUGGGGACCCCUGGUCCAGAGUGAUCAUGGGCCUCUUGGCUGCAUCUCUGAUCAGUCUUCUCCUUGUUUGAGAUGAAAGUUUGGAGGGACUGCCGGGUCUUGGUAGAUUAGCAGUGGUCUGAUACUCCUUCCAUUUCAAUAUAAUUGCUUGCACAGUGCUCCUUGAGAUGUUUAAAGCUUGGGAAAUCAUUUUGUAUCCAAAUCCGGCUUUAUAUUUCUCCACAACAGUAUCUCGGACAUGCCUGGUGUGUUCCUUUGUCUUCAUGGUACUCUCUGCGCUUUAAACAGAACCCUGAGACUAUCAAAGAGCAGGUGCAUUUCUACGGAGACUUGAUUACACACAGGUCCAUUCUAUUUAUCAUCAUCAGUCAUUUAGGACAACAUUGGAUCAUUCAAAGAUCCUCACUGAACUUCUGGAGUGAGUUUGCUGCACUGAAAGUAAAGGGGCCGAAUAAUAUUGCACGCCCCACUUUUCAGUU